rnacentral:rRNA from 1 species
GACGAACGCUGGCGGCGUGCUUAACACAUGCAAGUCGAACGGAAAGGCCCUGCUUUUGUGGGGUGCUCGAGUGGCGAACGGGUGAGUAACACGUGAGUAACCUGCCCUUGACUUUGGGAUAACUUCAGGAAACUGGGGCUAAUACCGGAUAGGAGCUCCUGCUGCAUGGUGGGGGUUGGAAAGUUUCGGCGGUUGGGGAUGGACUCGCGGCUUAUCAGCUUGUUGGUGGGGUAGUGGCUUACCAAGGCUUUGACGGGUAGCCGGCCUGAGAGGGUGACCGGGGAGGGUGGGACGGAGAGACGGCCGAGACUGCUAGGGGAGGCAGCAGUGGGGAAUAUUGCACAAUGGGCGGAAGCCUGAUGCAGCAACGCCGCGUGCGGGAUGACGGCCUUCGGGUUGUAAACCGCUUUCGCCUGUGACGAAGCGUGAGUGACGGUAAUGGGUAAAGAAGCACCGGCUAACUACGUG